AACAUGUGAGGAUAGAUAUAGACUUACCGAACUAUGUGGAAGCUUUGGUACAUUCUCCACACAAGUUCCUGUUAAAUUUAAAAUCCGCAAGAAUGGCAGUCUCAUAAUGUCAAUAGGAAUCACUUCUAGCAUUCGGCAAUCCUCUCCAUAAAUUUCCUCAAGUUUUUCCAUCAUCCCAAUGGCAUCAGGUAAAUUUCGCAUGUAACUGCCACCAAUCUUCAACACUUUCAAACUCUUUAGAUUGACAAUGCUAUUUGGCAACUCCACAAUGCUUGUGAAUGACACAUCCCAACUCUACUAAGUACUUCAGCAUUCCAAUCGACUCGGAAAGUUUCGUAAGCAUUUCACACCCCUUUAGAAUUAAUUUUUCUAAGGAUAAAAAUGUAGAGAGCUCAGGAAUUUCUUUUAACAUUCUGCAGUACGAUAGAUCAAUGACCUUCGAUCUUGUAGCCACCUGUCAAAUGAUUAUGUAUAGCCAACAAGUUUAAUCUAACUUAGUUUUGCAGGAGAUAGGUAAAUAUAUCGACCAAACAAGCAUUCCACCAAAAUAAGCUUACAAAUACUCUAUAUAUACAUUCCUAACGUAAGCCAAAACCACUCUUCCUCACACUUAUUUCAAAGUUGUCCCCAAUAACAAAGAAAAGAAAAUCCAUCUAUUCUUAAAUUACUCACACAUUGAAUAAUAAAAGACAGAAUAUAAUCAACACUACUCGUAUAAAUGAUAACAUCUAGAAUGUCAUGUGAAAACAUAAUUUCACAUUUUUUAGACCCGUUAAAUUGGAGAUCACCGAAUCUUUUUCUCAAACAUGUGAGGAUAGAUAUACUUACCCAACUAUGUGGAAGCUUUGGUACAUUCAUAUCACAAGUUCCUGUUAAUUUCAAAAUCCGCAAGAAUGGCAAUCUCAUAAUGUCACUAGGAAUCACUUCUAGCAUCCGGCAAUCCUCUCCAUAAAUUUCCUCAAGUUUUUCCAUCAUCCCAAUGGCAUCAGGUAACUUUUGCAUGCAACUGCCGCAAAUCUUCAACACUUUCAAACUCUUUAGAUUGACAAUGCUAUUUGGCAACUCCACAAUGCUUGUGAAUGAGACAUCCAACUCAACUAAGUAUUUUAGCAUUCCGAUCGACUCGGAAAGUUUUGUAAGCAUUUCACACCCCUUUAGAAUUAAUUUUUCUAAGGAUAAAAAUGCAGAGAGCUCAGGAAUUUCUUUUAACAUUCUGCAGUACGAUAGAUCAAUGACCUUCAAUCCUGUAGCCACCUGUCAAAUGAUUAUGUAUAUCCAACAAGUUUAAUCUAACUUAGUUUUGCAGGAGAUAAGUAAAUAUAUCGAGCAAGCAAGCAUUCCACCAAAAUAACAAUAUAAAUACUCUAUAUAUGCAUUCCUAACUUAAGCCAAAACCACUCUUCCUCAAAAGUAUUUCAAAGUUGUUCCCAACAACAAAUAAAAAAAUCCAUCUAUUCAUAAAUUACUCCCACAUCGAAUAAUAAAAGAAAGAAUAUAAUUAACACUACUCAUAUAAAUGAUAACAUCUAGAAUGCUAUGUGAAAACAUAAUUUUACAUUUUUUAGACUCGAUAAAUUGGAGAUCUCCAAAUCUUUUUCUAAAACAUGUGAGGAUGUAUAUACUUACCCAACUAUAUGGAAGCUUUGGUACAUUCAUAUCACAAGUUCCUGAUAAUUUCAGAAUCCGCAAGAAUGGCAGUCUCAUAAUGUCCCUAGGAAUCACUUCUAGCAUCCGGCAAUCCUCUCCAUAAAUUUCCUCAAGUUUUUCCAUCAUCCCAAUGGCAUCAGGUAACUUUUGCAUGCAACUGCCGCCAAUCUUCAACACUUUCAAACUCUUUAGAUUGACAAUGCUAUUUGGCAACUCCACAAUGCUUGUGAAUGACACAUCCAACUCUACUAAGUACUUCAGCAUUCCGAUUGACUCGGA
rnacentral:lncRNA from 1 species